GGGGAUAACUAUUAGAAAUAGUAGCUAAUACCGAAUAAAGUCAAUUAAUUUGUUAAUUGAUGAAAGGAAGCCUUUAAAGCUUCGCUUGUAGAUGAGUCUGCGUCUUAUUAGCUAGUUGGUAGGGUAAAUGCCUACCAAGGCGAUGAUAAGUAACCGGCCUGAGAGGGUGAACGGUCACACUGGAACUGAGAUACGGUCCAGACUCCUACGGGAGGCAGCAGCUAAGAAUCUUCCGCAAUGGGCGAAAGCCUGACGGAGCGACACUGCGUGAAUGAAGAAGGUCGAAAGAUUGUAAAAUUCUUUUAUAAAUGAGGAAUAA
rnacentral:rRNA from 1 species